UUUCAUCUUCCUGUAUGGUGUCUGCGGCUGCGUCGAUCUUGGCCGGAAGGAUGAUGCUCGCGGUGAUUGGUUUCGCUUUCUCACGACCCUUCAGAGUUGUCGGGUUUAAUUAAGCGGUUCUCGAUGUCAAUACAGAAGCUUGAUCUGCAGACAAAUCACGAUACAUAACGUAUCCAACCCAAAACGCGAAAGAGAUUUGAAGAAAAUACCGGUCUGUUAUGGGAGCACAAAAUCGAGAAGAAGAAUAGGAUGAAAGCGGAUUGUAAGGUGAAGUGGAUAGCUGUAGCAGUGAAAAUCCGUUUUAACGUCUUUAUGAUUAUGCAAAACAGAAUUCGGGAUCUUUGAGAUCUACUGUUGGAACCGUCGAAGGUACUAUUACUACAGUUAUUGGUCGUGUUUAUCACAAAUUCAAGCCUCUCCCUCAAGAUGUCCUCCUUUUUUUUUUUGACAAUAAGGUGAGGACACACUUUGCUAGCUCUGAUUGGAAAAAAGUUUUCACACUAAUAGCUUCAAAACACCCGAAUUCUACAAUAGGUGAGUUCUAUUGCGGGAUGCCAGUGCUUGCGAAGGAGCUAAAAAGGCUGUCACUAGAGUUCAGUCACAGAGUUUUUAGGGAGUGGAGUUUGAUUGAAUUUUUUUUACUUGCAGGAUAACAUAUUGUCAAUGGAUGAAUUAACUCCAACUUUUCUUCAUGACAGUGUCCUUCCUUUCUAUAACCUUCAAGAACGAGGGCAUGUUGUACAUGAGAUGCAGUGGUCCAAAUUUACUUGGAUAAUGCUGGUGAUCUGGAACUUAUUGGAAAAAGCCUUGAAUCUUAUGACCUCAACUUCUCAAGAUAAGGUA